AUAAUGCUGUAUAUUUGUAAGGACUGACUUGACAUUAUGUUUUGCAGUAAGUCAAAGCAAACGAAACCCCAGAUGUAAUGCACAACAUCACAUGAGACAAAAGAAUGACAAGGCGUCUUAUGGAUGGAGAAUCUUUGCCCCAGCCAAAGGCAGAAACUUGGACACUCCUGAAGCUGAUGAAAACAUGGACACUCCUGAAGCAGAUUGAUUGCUCGCUGUGCAUUAAGCUACGUUCACACCGCCAAGUGCUGUCUGCGAUUUUGCGUCAAAGACAAGUGAAAACAAAUGGGAACGCGCGUUCCAGCUGCGAUGAGACGCGGCGCGUCGUCACGACGCGUCACCAUGCGUUGUGCGGUGCGUCGGGGCGUUGGCGCUACGCGUCGCGAUUUUGCGUCCGACGCUGAAGUUGGGAAAUCUGAACUUUGGCGCGUCGCGAUUUUGCGGCAAACCAAUCAUAGAGCGUGCCCAUGGUGACGUCGGCCAGGGAGCGGGAACCGGUCCGAAGAGAAGCACUUCGACCAUGGAGGAGCGUGUAAUAAUGGCCGUUUACGCUCGCCCAGAGCUCUGGGACAAAACUUCUUCUUUUUACAGGGACAGGAACAGAAAAGCAAUUGCUUGGAGAAGGGUCAGUGAGGAGGUGGGCGUCUCUGGUAAGUAACAUGAAAAACCCAACUUCUAUUUAGUUUAGAUCACCCGCUUUUUUUUACCUAGCCAAAAGAUCGAGUUAGCACCAUUGCUACAUCCAUGUUUGCUGACUAGUCGUAUGUUCAUUCAGAGGAGGUUUGCCGAGUGCGGUGGAAGAGCCUCAGGGACACCGACAUCAGGGAGAGCCGGAAGGAGAGAGAAAGGAGGGACAGGAGUGGUGGAGCAGCAGCGACAGGUGCCAAGUGGCGGUACCUCGCCCUCCUGUCCUUUCUGGAGCCCUCCGUGGCGCCACGCCACACUAGUGGGAAUAUGAGCCCACGGAGGGCCCAGGAGGAUCAGGAAGGAGGGCGCCCAGAGGAGCCAGUAGAAGAAGCAGCAGGGCUUUCAGGUGAGCUGUUGACACAGCAGCCAGAGUCCUCCCUGGGUCUGCCUGGCCCCACCCCUGCUGCUGCUUCCACAGCUGGCUCCUCUGCUGCAGAAACAUCUGUGCAGGCUGGCCCUUCCUCUGCUGCUCCACCACCAGGUCCGAGGAAGAGAGGCAGAAAGAGGCGCCACGACUCCGGGCCCACAGAGUGGCAAAAGGAGAUGCUGGACACACUGAGGGCCAUACCAGAAGCGCCUCCUGCUGCACCGCCCAGGCCUCUCUCCGAGGACGAGAUGUUCCUCCUUUCUCUCGUUCCUCUUCUGCAAAAGGUGCCUCCUCAGUCCAAGGACUACGUCAAAUUCCAAAUUCAUAAAUUAAUAUAUGACAACAGCACAGUUCUGUUAAAUUUGGAACGAUUGGAGCCUACAGAGUAAACUGGUUUAUUAACCAAGAGGAGGCAUCCUUUGCAGAAGAGGAAGCAGACCUUCUGCUCUCCCUCCCCUGAGGCUGUUCCACCGCACCUUCUCCAAGCAUGGACUUUUCUGUUCCUGUCCCUGUGAACUUGUAAAUAGUUAUUUAUUUUAGUUGUAUAUAGUUUCUAUGUCAGAAAUCAAUCUAUGUUCUAUUUUGUAAUAAAUAACUUUUCCCCCACUUAUUUUGGAGUCUUAUUUAUAAGCACAAAACAAGUUGACAUACAUGGUUUA